rnacentral:rRNA from 1 species
CAGUAGCCGCGGUAAUACGAAGGGGGCUAGCGUUGUUCGGAAUUACUGGGCGUAAAGCGCACGUAGGCGGAUAUUUAAGUCAGGGGUGAAAUCCCGCAGCUCAACUGCGGAACUGCCUUUGAUACUGGGUACCUUGAGUAUGGAAGAGGUUAGUGGAAUUGCGAGUGUAGAGGUGAAAUUCGUAGAUAUUCGCAGGAACACCAGUGGCGAAGGCGGCUAACUGGUCCAUAACUGACGCUGAGGUGCGAAAGCGUGGGGAGCAAACAGGAUUAGAUACCCGCGUAGUCCCUGUCUCUUAUAC